GAUGAACGCUGGCGGCGUGCCUAAUGCAUGCAAGUCGAGCGAACAGACGAGGAGCUUGCUCCUCUGACGUUAGCGGCGGACGGGUGAGUAACACGUGGAUAACCUACCUAUAAGACUGGGAUAACUUCGGGAAACCGGAGCUAAUACCGGAUAAUAUAUUGAACCGCAUGGUUCAAUAGUGAAAGACGGUUUUGCUGUCACUUAUAGAUGGAUCCGCGCCGCAUUAGCUAGUUGGUAAGGUAACGGCUUACCAAGGCAACGAUGCGUAGCCGACCUGAGAGGGUGAUCGGCCACACUGGAACUGAGACACGGUCCAGACUCCUACGGGGGGCGGCAGUAGGGAAUCUUCCGCAAUGGGCGAAAGCCUGACGGAGCAACGCCGCGUGAGUGAUGAAGGUCUUCGGAUCGUAAAACUCUGUUAUUAGGGAAGAACAAAUGUGUAAGUAACUAUGCACGUCUUGACGGUACCUAAUCAGAAAGCCACGGCUAACUACGUG
rnacentral:rRNA from 1 species